CGGAGAUAUAAUCUAAAAAAAAGAAAAUGUCAAUAUCUCUAACAAUAAACAAGUUAUGGAGCUUUUUCGGAUCGAUGGGACAGCUUGUAUACCGGGCGGAUCCAAAAGUUUUACUACUGGUGAUCUUCUAAAAUUAUUACUUGCUACAUAAAAUUAGAUGACAAAUUUUUCUUACCAAGUAAUAACUUUUCCACAAUUUAUUUUGAGCUAAUUUGAUUCGUAUCACCAUGACAAUUUUUUUAAAGCUUGAAUUAAAUGGUCCACUCCAUCCGGUUGCCAUUUUGAUUUCAGUCGAUCUAGUGAUAAAUAGAUCAUUCUAUUACCAACAUCCCUACAUCCCACAUUUAUUGCUCCUUAUAAAAGUUCUAGAACAACAGGCUUCAGUGAAAUAGCGUCAGUAACAAUAAUUUAACAAUUAUUUCUGAAAUUAUCAACAAAUCUACUUGUCGAAGUUAUUUGUGGAAAGAAAUCCAGACGAACUAAGUGUGUGGAAAGCCAGUGCAGAAGAGUCAGGAAAUUGGGGGCCCCCAUCAUGGACCGCAACUCACCCCCCCAGUUUCCUUUCUACUCAACUGUUCUCAAGUACGGUAGACAACGUAGUGGUUUUGAUUUAUUGCAGAUAAUAGCAUUGAUAGAGGGAGUGUUCACAGUCCACGGUUCCAAUCUCCAAGCAUUCGUUACGAGAACAGAGAUCUACUUGAUCUAGGGUCUAACCUCCAGUGGGCUUACGUACCGCCGGCUCAAGUUCCCCCAUUCGCUAGUGGAGAUUACAUAACGCAGAACAUGUCCACUCUCCAGAGAUUAAUCCGUCCACAGGAUUACCGUGAUCAUCCUUUGGAAAGGUGCCUGCAUUGUGACUUCUUAGGGUAUAACCCCGUACUGCCCAAGGAAUUCUUCCCCGACUACUCUCGGUUGCUUCGUGAGGCGUUUCAUGAGGAAGUACCUGCAAAUGUUCGCGGAAGUGCUCCUGUGAAUGUUCCAGAAAACAUUCCAGUUCCUGGGAAUGUUUCACAGAAUGUUCCUGGGAAUUUUCCACUAAAUCAUUGUGGGAAUAUUCCACAGAAUGUUCCUGGGAAUUUCCCACUGGAUCUUUCUGGGAAUGUUCCACUAAAUGUCCCUGGAAAUGUUCCACUAAAUGUUCCUGGGAAUUUUCCACUGAAUCUUUCUGGGAAUGUUCCCCUGAAUGUUUCUGGGAAUUUUCCACAGAAUGUUCCUGGAAACUUUCCACAGAAUGUUCCUGGAAAUUUCCCACAAAAUGUUCCUGGGAAUUUUCCACAGAAUGUUCCUGGGAAUUUUCCACAGAAUUUUCCUGGGAACUUUCCACAGAAUUUUCCUGGGAACUUUCCUCAAAAUGUUCCUGGAAAUUUUCCACAGAAUGUUCCUGGAAAUUUUACACCGAAUUUUCCUGGGAACUUUCCACAGAAUGUUCCUGGAAAUUUUCCACUGAAUGUUCCCGGAAAUGUUUCACUGAAUGUUCCUGAGAAUAUUCCUGGAAAUGUUUAUGGUCAAAUUCCAGCUAUGUAUCCAGGGAAUUGCCCUGUUUUUUAUGCAAGGGAACUUCCUGGAUAUGUUUCUGGAAACCAUCGCGUGUUUGUUCCUGAGAAUACUCCCAUUUACAUCGUUGAGAAUUUUCCGGGUUAUAUUCCUGACAACUACCCGGUAUAUUUGGUGCCAGUUAAUCAGCCUCAAAACAUACCUCAAAAUAUUCCUACGUUCGUUCCUGAGUGCAAUCCUGGGAACUUUCCUGAGCGCAACCCUGGGCACGUUCCUGAGCGCAUGCCCGGGCACUUACCUGAGCGCAUUCCUGAACGCAGUCCUGGGAAUUAUCCGGAACCAAUGUCACCAUACAACCCCUUCAACGUUCAGAAUCAGGCCAACGUACGUUAUCCUGGGAUCAAUGAGAAUGUUAAACCAUAAGUUUUUUGUCGUUUGUAUUCGUAGCUUUAGUUUGCUUUUUUCGUUACUUUUAAUAUGUUUUUUAUUGUUCAUAGUUUUUAAUAAUUAAUAAAGUACCGAUAUUUUGAGUAGAAUUUUGUCCUUUUGUGUCGUUACUUUCAUUGUGCUUUUUAAUACUUCAUAGUUUUUGAUAAUUAAUGAAGUAACGACAUUUUGACUCGAAUUUUGUUCUUUUAUUGUUACUUUCAAUAUGUUUU